GAUGAACGCUGGCGGCGUGCCUAAUACAUGCGAGUCGAGCGAACAGACGAGGAGCUUGCUCCUCUGACGUUAGCGGCGGACGGGUGAGUAACACGUGGAUAACCUACCUAUAAGACUGGGAUAACUUCGGGAAACCGGAGCUAAUACCGGAUAAUAUAUUGAACCGCAUGGUUCAAUAGUGAAAGACGGUUUUGCUGUCACUUAUAGAUGGAUCCGCGCCGCAUUAGCCAGUUGGUAAGGUAACGGCUUACCAAGGCAACGGUGCGUAGCCGACCGGAGAGGGUGAUCGGCCACACUGGAAGUGGGACAACGUCCAGACUCCUACGGGAGGCAGCAGUAGGGAAUCUUCCGCAAUGGGCGAAAGCCUGACGGAGCAACGCCGCGUGAGUGAUGAAGGUCUUCGGAUCGUAAAACUCUGUUAUUAGGGAAGAACAAAUGUGUAAGUAACUAUGCACGUCUUGACGGUACCUAAUCAGAAAGCCACGGCUAACUACGUG
rnacentral:rRNA from 1 species